GGGAAUAUUGCACAAUGGGGGAAACCCUGAUGCAGCGACGCCGCGUGAAGGAAGAAGUAUCUCGGUAUGUAAACUUCUAUCAGCAGGGAAGAAAAUGACGGUACCUGACUAAGAAGCCCCGGCUAACUACGUGCCAGCAGCCGCGGUAAUACGUAGGGGGCAAGCGUUAUCCGGAUUUACUGGGUGUAAAGGGAGCGUAGACGGAAGAGCAAGUCUGAUGUGAAAGGCUGGGGCUUAACCCCAGGACUGCAUUGGAAACUGUUGUUCUAGAGUGCCGGAGAGGUAAGCGGAAUUCCUAGUGUAGCGGUGAAAUGCGUAGAUAUUAGGAGGAACACCAGUGGCGAAGGCGGCUUACUGGACGGUAACUGACGUUGAGGCUCGAAAGCGUGGGGAGCAAACAGG
rnacentral:rRNA from 1 species